GCCUAACACAUGCAAGUCGAACGGCAGCACAGAGGAGCUUGCUCCUUGGGUGGCGAGUGGCGGACGGGUGAGGAAUACAUCGGAAUCUACUCUGUCGUGGGGGAUAACGUAGGGAAACUUACGCUAAUACCGCAUACGACCUACGGGUGAAAGCAGGGGAUCUUCGGACCUUGCGCGAUUGAAUGAGCCGAUGUCGGAUUAGCUAGUUGGCGGGGUAAAGGCCCACCAAGGCGACGAUCCGUAGCUGGUCUGAGAGGAUGAUCAGCCACACUGGAACUGAGACACGGUCCAGACUCCUACGGGAGGCAGCAGUGGGGAAUAUUGGACAAUGGGCGCAAGCCUGAUCCAGCCAUACCGCGUGGGUGAAGAAGGCCUUCGGGUUGUAAAGCCCUUUUGUUGGGAAAGAAAUCCAACUGGUUAAUACCCGGUUGGGAUGACGGUACCCAAAGAAUAAGCACCGGCUAACUUCGUGCCAGCAGCCGCGGUAAUACGAAGGGUGCAAGCGUUACUCGGAAUUACUGGGCGUAAAGCGUGCGUAGGUGGUUAUUUAAGUCCGUUGUGAAAGCCCUGGGCUCAACCUGGGAACUGCAGUGGAUACUGGAUGACUAGAAUGUGGUAGAGGGUAGCGGAAUUCCUGGUGUAGCAGUGAAAUGCGUAGAGAUCAGGAGGAACAUCCAUGGCGAAGGCAGCUACCUGGACCAACAUUGACACUGAGGCACGAAAG
rnacentral:rRNA from 1 species